UUGGAGGGCAAGUCUGGUGCCAGCAGCCGCGGUAAUUCCAGCUCCAAUAGCGUAUAUUAAAGUUGUUGCAGUUAAAAAGCUCGUAGUUGAAUUUCGGGAUUGACGUGAUGGUCAUGCCUUAAGGGGUAUGAACUGUCACUGUUGAUUUCUCACCUUCUGGAGAAACUUGAUGUCCUUUAUUGGGUGUCUUGCGGAUCCAGGACCUUUACCUUGAAAAAAUUAGAGUGUUUAAAGCAGGCAUUUUUGCUCGAAUACAUUAGCAUGGAAUAAUAGAAUAGGACGGCAUGGCUCUAUUUUGUUGGUUUCUAGGAUCACCGUAAUGAUUAAUAGGGAUAGUUGGGGGCAUUAGUAUUCAAUUGUCAGAGGUGAAAUUCUUGGAUUUAUUGAAGACUAACUACUGCGAAAGCAUUUGCCAAGGAUGUUUUCAUUAAUCAAGAACGAAAGUUAGGGGAUCGAAGACGAUCAGAUACCGUCGUAGUCUUAACCAUAAACUAUGCCGACUAUGAAUCAGACGAUGUUAAUUUUUUAAUGACUCGUUUGGCACCUUACGGGAAACCAAAGUGUUUGGGUUC
rnacentral:rRNA from 1 species